rnacentral:rRNA from 1 species
UACGUAGGGUGCAAGCGUUACUCGGAAUUACUGGGCGUAAAGCGUGCGUAGGUGGUUUGUUAAGUCUGAUGUGAAAGCCCUGGGCUCAACCUGGGAACGGCAUUGGAUACUGGCUUACUAGAGUGCGGUAGAGGGGUGUGGAAUUCCCGGUGUAGCAGUGAAAUGCGUAGAUAUCGGGAGGAACAUCUGUGGCGAAGGCGACACCCUGGACCAGCACUGACGCUCAGGCACGAAAGCGUGGGGAGCAAAAGGG